UGGGGAAUAUUGCACAAUGGAGGGAACUCUGAUGCAGCGACGCCGCGUGAGUGAUGAAGGAAUUCGUUUCGUAAAACUCUGUUCUAUGGGAAGAAAAGGACUGUACCAUAGGAGAAAGCUCCGGCUAAAUACGUGCCAGCAGCCGCGGUAAUACGUAUGGAGCGAGCGUUGUCCGGAAUUAUCGGGCGUAAAGGGUGCGCAGGCGGCUUUACAAGUUGGAUGUGAAAUAUUGUGGCUCAACCACAAACGUGCAUCCAAAACUGCAAAGCUUGAGUUAAGGAGAGGUAAGUGGAAUUCCUGGUGUAGCGGUGGAAUGCGUAGAUAUCAGGAGGAAUACCGGUGGCGAAGGCGACUUACUGGACUUAAACUGACGCUCAGGCACGAAAGCGUGGGGAGCAAACAGG
rnacentral:rRNA from 1 species